AGCGAAGCGUUUGAAAACUUCUAGAACAUUCUGCACUUCAACACUAUAAAUAUGCGCUUGGUUUUAAAAAAGAAAUCGAUCAAGAAAAACGUAAACGCAGCGUCUCGUGGCCGUGGAAAGGAGUUUACAAGGUUUACGUUGUUUGCCGGCUUGGGAAUCAAGAUGGCCGCUCAUGGCCGAUCGAAAAUAUCAUCGUCGUCCUGAUCGAUGCUGAUCGAGCUACCGAACAUGUCCUUGUUGCCCAUCGAGAAACGCGGCUUAUCAUCCUCCGGCUGCCGCCAUUCGCCCACCGCCCCCGAGACGCUGCUUUAAGCAUUCGUUUAGUGCUAAUACUACAACUUUUACACAGCCCUGCAAAUUUAUGCCAUAGAUAUUUCCAUAACAUUAGUCAAUCAUUAUCGGUGUUCAUUAAUCCCAAAUCGCAGAAUUAAUUUCCGGUUGGCAGCGGUGUGGUAAGAGAUUAGAGUAAAUGUGACAAACACAAACACACACACAUUGAUAAAAACAAACGACAAUAAACAGAUUAAACACGCAAAACAAAGUUACGGAAAUAUCCAUACGAUAUGACUCGUUUUCGUAAGCACAUAUGGUUUCUGAAUCUAAUGAGCAAACCGCAAAAUUGGUCAUAGUUAAAUUUGCGUCGCUGAGCUUUGGAUCUAUCACUUUGACAUGACCUUGAAUGCACUACUUACUCGAUGUGUUGCAUGCGCGCACGAUGAUCGGAUGAUUUCCCACCGUCCGAACCGGAACUCUUCGCUCGAAUGGCGGUGUUGGAUCCAGGCCUGCCGUCCCACGAAUUGUGCCUUCGAUGGGCGCUCAUUUUCUCAGUUGCCUACUUUGUGGUCAAUUGGGUUGGUCCACACGUUACUAGCACCGGUGCGUUGAUGGCUGCCUAUUUCUGCACUGAUGGCUCCGGUUUGUAUCAGCGGCGACCUAACGCAAGCCCUAGAAUGAACUCCACUUGAAUGGGACAGCAGAUUAGCUCAUCACAAACAAGCGUUUGAAAUUAGAAGGCACUUGGAGCAUUUAAACAUUGCGUUUUGCAUUUCUAUGUUUAUUUCUCGCAAUAGCAGAGAUUUUAUUAUGUGCGUGACAGUGCAAUAUAACCAAAAAGCUGUCAAAAUGGUCCAGGAACCUUCUACUACUCCUGUAACAUAGGCAACUUAAAAUACACUUACGAAUUGACA